AAUAGAUACCCAGGUAGUCCACGCCGUAAACGAUGAGUGCUAAGUGUUGGGGGGUUUCCGCCCCUCAGUGCUGCAGCUAACGCAUUAAGCACUCCGCCUGGGGAGUACGGUCGCAAGACUGAAACUCAAAGGAAUUGACGGGGGCCCGCACAAGCGGUGGAGCAUGUGGUUUAAUUCGAAGCAACGCGAAGAACCUUACCAGGUCUUGACAUCCCGGUGACCACUAUGGAGACAUAGUUUCCCCUUCGGGGGCAACGGUGACAGGUGGUGCAUGGUUGUCGUCAGCUCGUGUCGUGAGAUGUUGGGUUAAGUCCCGCAACGAGCGCAACCCUUAUUCUUAGUUGCCAUCAUUCAGUUGGGCACUCUAAGGAGACUGCCGGUGAUAAACCGGAGGAAGGUGGGGAUGACGUCAAAUCAUCAUGCCCCUUAUGACCUGGGCUACACACGUGCUACAAUGGACGGUACAAACGGUUGCCAACCCGCGAGGGGGAGCUAAUCCGAUAAAACCGUUCUCAGUUCGGAUUGUAGGCUGCAACUCGCCUAC
rnacentral:rRNA from 1 species